AUUGGGCCAGCAGCAACUGGAGCUUUGCCCUUGGUUCUGGGAAACAUCUGAGAUGGAUGACAGAGAGAUCGGGGCACAUUUGAAGGCUUGCAGCAAGGAAGGCAAAGAGAUUGAAAACUAUCCAAAUGGAGAGUGAACAGCCAGAGACAUUGGGGCUUCUUCCCUUGGACAGCAGAAGUCUUGGCAUCUAAUUCCUGAGCUCUGACAUUUGGGGAGCUUCGCGUGGAUGUCUCAACUAACACCAAAGAAAUAAACCACCAAAAGCCAGAGUUCAGUCAACCCCUCCAAUUGUCCACAAGCAUGCCUCAGAUUUGGAGAAGGACUGUCCCCACUUCACCUCCGAAGACAGAAAGUUGGGAGCAGCAGGUGGAUCAUUUCAGCCAAGGCCAGGGUCGUGAGAUCUGAUUGUUGAAUGGGCGGCCAUCAGAGACACAGCGGACACGGCCGAUGGGAUGUGGAAAAGGCUCAGAUCUACCCAGGACCUCCAGAUGUACGGCUGCUUUUACACCAUGCACUGUAAUGAUAGGGUCUUACCUAUCUUCCAAAUGGCCUACUGAGACCUCCAGUGCCUACUAGGAUGCUUUGCAGCAUGAUACCCACAGCCCUACCCACUGCGAGUGAACAAGAAGGCCUGUCAUCACUGGAGUAGGUCUAUUCUACUCCCAGCUAGGCUUCGGUCACCAGGCCCUCGGACCUACCUGGCUCUGUUCGGUGCUAAGAGAAGUCUGCUGCCAGAGAGUUCAGAUCAUUUUGACAUCCCAGCAUCUCCAUGAGCAGAGCGGAUUGCUGCUUGCAAUGAAGUCUUCCUGGAGUUGGAUUGACAAAUCAUCAAAUUGAGAAUAAUCAGCUCAGACUAUCUAUUUCCUUCUGAGACUUCCCCAACAUAAGGAACCACAGCGGGGUGGAGGCAUCAAGCAGGCAAGGAAGGAGGAGAAGGAGCUUUGAAAUUAAAUGACAACGGUCUAAAGUUUCUGCUCAGUGCAACAUGUGGAGCUCAGAGGACAACCUGCCGGAGUCAGUUCUCUCCUUCCACCGGUGGGUCCAGGGGAUUGAGCUGAGGUGUCAGAUUUGGUAGCAGACAUCCCUUCCACUGAAGUAUCUCUUCGGCUCUGCUCUUGGCUGUGGUUCUAAUGUGACUGGCUGCUUCAUGUUCCCGCUGCUUUGACUACUCUGCAAUGAUGGACGGUAACCUGGUGUCUACCCCAACCCCAAGCUAAACUUUAGGUGCCAGACCCACCUUCUUUCCUCCUUAAGUUCCUUGUCUCAGGGUGUUUUACGAUAGCAGCAGAAGCACAACUAAUACAGUAGUCCAAUGAGACUGCUGGUGUCAAGACAGCCAAGCCUGCAGAGCGUCCUCCUCUUCCUCCUUGUCGUCAUCGUCGUCGUCAUCAUCAUCAUCAUCAUCAUCUUCCUCCUCCUCCU